rnacentral:pre_miRNA from 1 species
AAUAGGAGAAUAACAAAUUAGAUUUUUCUUUUGAUUUUGACCUUUUUUCUCUUGAAAAAAAUUUAAAUCCAACUAAAAAUGCUACAAAUCAGGAAGAAAAAUUUAAUUUGUUAUUCUUCAGUU